GAAACGCGUUUCUGGUCGAUUUAAAGGCUUCUCGUUUUUGUUUAGUGUUCUGCUUGGGUGACUGAGGGAAAAAAACACCUUUAUGUAUAUAUUACCCUGUGUGUUCUGAAUGAGUAAUGCUUUAUCUGAAGGUUCUGUGCUGCUUUUAAUGUUGGGCUAUCCUCUGCUGAGCGUGUGCUGGCGGUGCUUCUCCAAGUACAUCCCUUUUGCAGCAGGGAGGUCCUUACCGAUGUUGUUCCUGUCUCCCAAAGCUGAACACGUGGGUAAUUCCCGCUGCUGGCAGUACUGAUGUAAGCACUGUGUGGUCUGAACACGUGCACUUGUGCAUCUGGAGGUCUUCCUUAGGUUCUGGGCAAGUUGUAAAGGUGCUGCUCUAAAUUCUUUCUAGAUAUUCAUGAUAGAAACCCCCAUACUCCAGUAGCAAUCCGUUCUGUUUUUUUUUUUUUUUUUUUUUUUUUUUUUUAAACCUUUUAAAUGUAUCUCUCCAUUUGUCCCAUUACUUAAAUGUUAGGAUAAUGUGUUAUGUUUCAGACUGCCUAAAAAAUCCUGUGUGCUCAUGUAGUAAGUUAUCAGGAUGAAGAAACUGGGUUGCAACAAGGGGUUUAUGUUAUAUUAUUUAAGGGUGAGAAGAAAAAAGGGGGGUUGUUUUAAUCCCUUUCCCUGAUCACGUCUUCUACGUCCAUGCACACACUUUUGCUGCCACCAGGGAAGCAUGUGGGAGGGCAGCAGAUGCUCUCCUAGUGGUGCUACUGUAGGAGGAAGAGGUAGCAGGAGUGUCCCUUUGGUAACAGCAACGCUGGCUGUGUGGAACUGCAGCAUCAGCACAAAAUUAGUUCAAAAGGUAGCAGCUGGUUUAGGCGUGGCUGUGCAGCUUGAAAAUGAUGAUUCUAUCUAUCUUCUUUUCCAGUGGAGAUCAAAGCACUUCUUGACCUUCUGCUUUCAAGCUCCUCUAGAGCCACUUCCAGCAGAGGACAGCGUAUUUCACUUUGCUCUCCUUUGAUUCUCAGUGUUUUCUUUUAUAGCUGAGUUUUUCUUGAGAAUAUCAGUUGUAUUUUGUGCUAUCCUGGGUACAACUUGUUUGGGGCUAAUAUUCCUGCCUGGCUUUCCUUGUUUCUUCCUAGCUGCUCAGAGACUGCCUCUGUUUUCCUCAGCUCUUGUUCUUUGCGCUUCUACAUUUGGAAUUGUUUUCUCCAUGGCCAAAUUGGUGAUCUGAGCUCUUGCAGCCUUGGGCUCGAGCAGCCCAGGUAUCUGCAGGUAGAAAGAACUGUGCAGUGCCACCCAGCCUGACCCUGCCUGGAUCCAGAGAGACUGGUCCUUCCUUUGCCUUCCCAGUACAGAGGUACUGCAGUGGGGAUCCACUGCCUUAAAGCAUAUGAGCAUGAGGGUGAAGUCGCUGCAUAGGUAGGAUUUCUGUAUUUCUUUACCUCUGUUGUAAGAACUUUUCAUCUUGAUGUGAUUCAAGUGGGUCGCUUUUCUUCUGUAGUGUCCUUCUAGUAACACUUCUUUAAAGUGGUGUUUUUAGUAUUACAAGUGCUUAUUUCUGUAUGCUAUUACAAAAACCCCCAUGCUUGAAGCUGUUUCUUGGUAAUGGCUUGCUACGUGUUUUCUCUCUAAAAUAAAGGUACUGGCUUCUUCCUGUAGGGUUCUAGGAAUCUCAGUAUUUCAUUACGUACUCUUUUUUUUAGAUUGUGUGAAUGUUAAUUGAUGUGUCAGAAGUCUGACAAAAUCAAAAUUAUAUUGCCUCAAGUUGACGUUCCCUGUCUGCAUUGCUCCUCUGUCACUGAAGGAAAUUCUGUUCCCUUGUUAUGGUUUGUUCUUACUCUGGCUUUAACUGUAUUAUCUGAAAUAUGCAGCAGAUAGAUUGCUUGGCAGCUCACGUAUUCCAGCAUCAUCCCAGGACUGAUGGCAACCUGUGCUACCAUGUGUAUUUGGUUUCCUGCUUUGUGGGAGUCAGUGUUUGUCUCCUUCUUCAGGCUGCUGGAACCUGAUGUGUGGAGCAGAAAUGGUCUUUGAUAACUGCUUGUGUUGCUUUUUGUAGAGUACACGUUGUUAUGUUGACCAGAUUUGGAAACCUUGAAGUACUCUUUGAAUGCAGUGAUGCCUGAAUACUGUUCAUAGGUGUAGAUUAGUAAGUUCCCUGCAGAGUUGUAUUGCCUUAAUUGUCUUUGUUUGAUGUUUGCUCAGGAGUUCUGAGGCAAUUGCUCUGAUGUAUUUCCCAGUUUUGGCUUGUGUUCUUGUCGUUGUGUGCUGACAGGGGUUUCAUUAGCCAGCUCCUCUGACCUCGUGAAGGCUGAUGCAGCAAACCCUGUGAAUGCUUUAGCAUUACCUGUUAGAGAUGGUGUUAACACACUCCUACUUAACUGCUCUUUCCUUCACUGCGUGUGUUCUGAAGGGAAAUGUUGUUACCUCCAGGUUGUUUCUUUCCUAAUGCUUUUACUUCUCCUGGUUUAACAAUUGUACUGUUCACCUUCAGUCACCUUCAGUUAUUUGAAGUUUUACAAAAGGGAAUAUGUGCAAAAUCUGUUGAAUUUCAAAUCAUUAAACAGCUUUUGCCUGCUGUAGGGGCUUGCUUUGCAGGGGAGCUGGACUUGGUCUCUGGAGGUCCCUUCCAGCUCCUACAAUUCUGUGUUUAUACUUGGCUGAGAUGGUUCGUCAGAGAACUUCAGAUCUUCUGGCUUUCAGAUAGCUUGUUCCUUUAUUGUUAGUUCACUUUCUUUAUUUUGUGGCUGUUCUGUCCUCCUGAAGAAUAGCAAGUAGUGCUUUUUCCUGCUUUCUGUUGUCUCAGGAGUUGGAAGUUUCUGCUUUCACUUUCCUAGCUAGUUCCUCCCCUUUGCUUAGAAUGAAACUAGAAGAGACUUCCUUCCAUAGCUUUUUUUUUUCCCCCUAUUUCUUGUGUAAACAAGGUUAAUCUCAAAGUAUUUGAGAGCUUGUUGGGCAAUGUGUGUCCUAUUUGCUCCUCUUUUUUUUUUUUUUCUUUUUUCUUGGCAGAUGCCUGCAGUGAAGGUCCUCAUUGCUAUAAAGUUUGUGCUUCGGCUGUUCUGUUGCUCAUCCUUUUCCCCUUCCUGAUUUUGCGAAUAUAAAUCUCUGGAGUAGAUUGUAUGUGGUCUAGUACCUAUUUAGCCUUCCAUCUCUCUUUUACUGUGACUUAGGUCCUGAGACAUAGCACCUAUGUAUGCAGGUAGCAUCGAGCACAGCGACACAGGCAGAUAGGCAGAGGAGGGAGGAGCAGCUUUCUCGUAGCACCAUAUGUUUGCCAUGCUGAGUUCUUCUGUGGCCAGGGAGCUUUGGAAUGUGCUUGCAUCCACUGGUGGCAGGGGUCAAAGCACUGAUAAGCACCUUGGUGCUGCAGUGGAGAUAAGGGGUAGCCAGAGGAGUGCAAGAGGAUAAGAUUGGACAUUCAGUCUCUGCCAUAAACAUCCUUCAGGUUGAGUUGCUGCUGUAGUUCGCUCUGAUGGAACCAUGCCAAACCCUACAACUAUGGGAAUAUAUGGGGGGGUAUUUUUUUAGUAUUUUCCUUAGUUAUUGUUGCUUGACCAAAAUAACAAGUGUAACACCAUAUGUUUUUGGCAUUACUGUAAUCUUAAAUAAGCCUUUUCCACUAUAAAUCUUCCCUGUCACAGGGAGGGCAGAUGAUAAAUUAGCAGUUAAAAGUUGUUCUAAGGUGGGACUUAGUAUGGAAAUGCUCUGUUCAAGAAUAAUGAAUGUCUUUUUAAGUUUAUUUUCUUAAGUAUCACAGAGGUUCAAGGCAUCACAUGCUUGGCUUUAAAGAUGCUUUUGCUUAGGGGAAAGCGUGUCUAAUUACGGAGCAGUGCUUGAUUAAAGUUCUGCCAUGCGUUAUUUUCUAAGGUGAAGUGGUAGCUUUGCCUUCUUUUUAAAAGCUCACUCUGAAGAAUUGUCAUGCAUGCACAAAGGCUUUUGAAUGCAGUUUUUGAUUUUUCAGAUUCCUAAUGUCUUCUCUGAAUACACGGACGCAGGGUGUGUGCGUGCCAGUGCAGUUGCAAUCCACCUGGCUGAGACUCUGAAUUAUCUUUUAUUCAAUCUGCUUGAAUUUCAUGGCCUAUGCUGAGUUUUAGGGGGCAGGUUAAGCACAUCCCGGUGAUUUACUUACGUAAAGAGGAAAGGAAAUGCGUCCACCAAAAACUACAUUAAAAGAAUGUUGAGGUUGUUACCGCAAACAGGGCAGGGUAAAGACAUUUACUGUUGGCUGUAAACUUGGACCAUAUGGCCUCCGACAAUCAGACAAAAGUCUUAUGUAAAAAAGCAAUUAAUGGGGGCUGCUGGUUCUGCUUUGUUGUCCUGCUGCCUGCUACAGGGAGGGGGGAAACUGGUGUGUAAAGCUCCUUUGGAGUCAGAGGGGCUGCUGCAGGUACCUGUGACCUAUCCUAACUGGAGGGAGGAAGCGUGGAUGUCUGCAGACUAACAAAAGCACAGAAACUCCCUUUCCCCCCGGCGUUGUGCUGUCUCUGCAAAGUGUCCUUCCCGUGCUUGACAGCUCUGGGAGAUGGGUGUGGGCACUGGAGCAGCCUCUGCAGAAAGCUGAUAUGUUGCUUUCCUCUCCUGCUUUCAUCCCUGUCCUGUGUUUGCCUUUGUUCCUACACGGCUGCAAUGUUAGAUGGUCGUUAAUGAUUUUGCUUGAUAAUAAACUUUGCUGCUGUCUUCUUCCUGUCCACAACAGCCUUGUAGAAAGGUGUCUAGUCUCUUUAUUAAAAUUGAUUUUUUUUCUCCUCCUUUUCCCAGAGGCAGACAUGUUUAUUUCUCAAUUAAUUUGUUAAUAAGGCUCCAAAAUGAAGAUGGUGUAACAGUGCUUAGGAUCUCUGGGCCCAGCUUUGUAUCGCUCAGGGGAGACAUCAAUUCAGUGGGUUGUGUUGUGGGGAUUCUAAUCUGCCCUGCACCCUGUUAUGGUUGUUCCAGGGAUUCAUUAGGGGGAGCACUUGGAGUUUUGCGGCUGUCAGAUUCACCAGGAGUUGAAAGUAUGAGCAUCCCCAGUGAAUACAGCAGAGUGGGAUCUCAUGGCAGCACGUGGGGCUGGAGUCAUUGGAAAAAAGUUUGGAAUCUCUGUGUUUAAUCUCCUUCCAAGUGAAAGGAUUGCUUGGCCUCCUGCUGCAUUCUUCUCUGCAGUGUGGUUCAAGAAAAUCACUGUCUUCUAGGGUGGAGGGGGAAGCCCCAGAGAUUGUGGAAAAUAACAUAAAACUGUGUUUAAGCCAAGUUAAGUCUGAAGAAGCCUAAUUAGGGUUGUAUACAGCAUACAUGAGAGGGAGAGUGUUCAUGUUCAGGAAAGAGAACAGGAUGCCUCUGCCACAAAUGAAUGAUCAGCAAAUAAUCUGGUUUGAUGGCAGUUAUGCUUCAAACUGAGAAACACGUAGGUAAUUAUUUUUACUGUUUUACUGCGGUCCUGCUCCAAUGAAUAGCACAAAGGUUAAAUAUAUGUCUGAGCAUUUGCAGAAUCCUAGGCUUCGUCCGAGCAUGUUGAUUCCUUAAAGUUACAGAGAAAGAUAAGUGGUUGUACAGAGAGCUGGAAAGCAGUGGGUUGGUGCAGAGUGAGGAGCAGGUGCUUUUUAAGAAGCAGCGUUCAGGUCAGAGUUCUCAAGUCCUAAGAACGUUCCGCUCCCUAAUUUUAGUAAUGCCAAGCAGUGUCAGCAGGCUGUCCGUUGUGCCCAGGUUACGGAGAAUUUCUCAUUUUCCUAGACAGCAAAACUGAAGGGAGCGCUUCGGCUGAUUCUGACACCUUCAAACCUGGGGAGUCAGCAUGGGAAGCGUUGGGUCUGAUUGGGCUGCAGGUUUGGCACCAAGAUUUGUUGCAUCACAACAAAUGCUGACAGUGCCAGGUUGAAGGAGGAAGACCUCGCUUGUUCCAGGCAAGUACGGGCAGACACACAUGCCUUUGUACUCCUUGCUGGCAACGUGUCGUGUGCGCGUCCUAUAGAAACUGGUAACUUCAUGGAGAUUAGGAGCUGAAAAGUCUGUAUGUGUAACUAAUGACUGGAUAAUCUUUAACAUGAGUAUAUGAAUAGCCUUGUGUAAAAAGAAGGGUUCGUGUUGUUCUCGGAGUAGCUGUCUGCAAGCUUAAGAAGACUGCAAACUCUCAGUCCUUACGCACCCUGGAUGGUGUUGGGAAGGGCUGUCAGUGGUGGUUGUGUAGUCUGAUAACUCUGUGACUGAUUUGCUGUGGCCUGGAGAUGAGAAGCUGCCUUUAAAUCCUCCAAAUCCCCUUGUUCCAGAGAAAGCAAACAAAAUCUGCAUCCUGAGAAAGGGGAUGUUUAAGACUGAGGGCAACACCAGGAUGAUGUGCUGCUGCUGUGAAUGUGGUGAGCCAGGCAGCAUUGGGGCAGUUUGGGAGCUGGAGAGGCCCAUGUCAGUUGAGCUUAGUCUAGAAUUACUGUAUUUGAACUGUCUUGUUUCUGGUCUUCCAACAAAACCUGGCCUAAAGUCUUAUUAAACAAAUCCUUGUUUCUAUUCUGUCUGUUUGGUUUUGUGGAAAGGUGGCACAGGAUGGAAAUGCAGAUGUGUCCAGAGCGAGCUGUCUCUGUGUGGGCAGUACGUCAGUGGUGCAUGAGUCCAGCAGCCCCCUGCAGACCUGAUCCUUAAGAUGAAAUUGGGGCAUGCACAUGGGAAGCUUUGCUGCUAAGUAAGAAAUUUUGGAAAGAUCCCUCUCUUUAGUAGAGAAUGUGUCUGGGAAACAUCUCAUGGCUCUGGGGAAACCGCAGUGUUUGGAGAGGACCUGGAAGGGGAGGGUGACUCCCAGCCCUAGCUUGUGACAGUGAACAAAACACAAAUGCAGAAAUGGAUCUUGGCUGGGAAAGGAGAACAACUGCAUGAGGACCUUAGGGGAGUGACCUGGAGCCUGUGACCUCAAUACAUUGCUUUUCCCUUGUGGGGUUGCAGCAGCACCCAGCAUUUGAGGAAUGCUUUGCAAAGUCCUGGAGCUGCCAAGUUCACGAAGCCCCACAUUUUCCAGGGGCUCACCUGCUGCUCAGGCUGCCCUGCAGAAGUACAGCCUGCGGAAAUGCUCCUCCACUCCCUGGGAGCUGUGCUUUGAGCAGAGGAAAUCCUACAGAGCGCUAAUGCUAAUCGCUCUCAAAUCAGAAAUGUGAAAUUUGGGCAUGCUUCAGGCGUUAUAUCGGCUUAAUUUCCUUAACUGGUGAUGUGAGGAUAAUAGUGCCUCGUGGUGAUUUUUGAGGAGGUCGGUUGCUAAAUGCUCACUGUGCAUGCCAAGGAAAACUGGAGAGGAAGGGAAAAAAAAGUAAACUUGUUGAAACAGGGUUUGAAUGGGGAGAAUAAACAAGGAUAAAAUGACAUUGUCUGCAUGCACAUUGGUUGAAUGUUGUCUCUCUGGAGGGCUGAAAGAGGUGGCAGUCCUGGCAAGCUGAAAAGAGCAGCCCUACAGCUCAGCUUCUGGCAGGCAAGCACAUAGCUUGAAGGGGAAAAAGGCAGCGCUCAGGCCAUACGCUGUGCAGGAGUGACGUGGCACGAGGCCUCCAACCACUGCCUGGCUGGGCUGAAGCAGGCUGAUGGAUGCAGAGGGGAGCAGCCUGACUGCCUCAGCCUGCCUUCUGAGGGAAGGGGUAACUGUGCAGAGAUGGAGUGCGUUUCUAUCGGUGCCUGUGACCACCAGAGGGAUCAGACCACUGGGAUUUUCUCUUCUGCAGUUUCAUUCUGCAUUCUUCCAAGCAGCUUGGUUAUGGGUGGUUUACAUACAGAGAUUUUAAUUGUCUGACGUAAGAGAAUUAUAAAUUAGACAUGGUCUGACCUAUUUAUGCUCUGUUGCAGGUUGACUUUUUUUUUUUUUUUUUUUGCUUCAGUCUGGCAAAAAAAAAAAAAAGGCUGUAUUUAUGACUGCGAUGCAGCUUUAUAUUUCUACUUGCACAAGUAAGACUUGAUUUCCAAAACUCGUGGUAUUUCUCUAUGUGGGUAGUUCAGAGGUAGCUGCAUCAUUAAGCAAGAGCCUGCACAGCCUGUGUUUUCUGUGAGCUGGAUCAGUUGGAUCCCAUUUCCAGAGUUCUAGUGGUUCCCUCCUUCUAGAGCUUCAAUGGUAUAAAUGGUGAAUGCAUCUGAAAGUAAUCAUUCAUUGAAUGUAAUGGACCUCCACCUCUUUCUCUUACCCCUAAUUGGUUCAGUGUUUUAUUCUGAAGUGGGUUUUAGUGAUGGUGGAAAGAUGCAAAGUUGCCUGAAGGAGAGUUGCCCCAACCAAUGUCUUUCUACCACACGUCCUUCCUUCACAAAUAUAGAAGCAGCUUUAUCAUUGAAAAUUUAAUGAAGCUUUCAUCAAUACAAUGCAGUGCCUCUACUUUCUCUGAAACGUAUUCAUUUUUAAUGAGCUUCACAUUCUAAUUUCAGAUAACAGGAACAACUGAAUAUAACCAUAAAUCUGGUUUGUUUGUGAACAACGUGUCCCAUGUCACUUGCAGUUUGUGAAGCAGCCAUUGACUGGCGUGAAGCGUGGGAGGGGCCGUGCAUCUCAGCGUCAAGCAGCUGCUAUUUAAAUCAGCAUUGGACUGCAUUUAGAAGCUGAUUUAAAUGGUUUGUUUCAGACCUCUAUUUUUUUCAUAAAAAUCAGCCCUGGGAAACAGAAGCAGUGACCUUAAAGCAAUGAGGCUGUUGCCUGAGUGAUAUUUCAAAGUAUUUCUGCGUUGUGACUUUCUUCCUCCCCCCUCCAUUAGCAAGCCUAAGGUUAAAAAGUACAAUAGUGGGAAAAUUCUUCGUAGAUGUAGCAGAGCUGGUACUACUGAGCGAAAUAUAGAACUGUGUGUAAUGAAUUGCAGAAGAUGGAAACAGUCUAGGAAUAGCUGUGAAAGUAUCGUGCAGCACUGCGCAGCGUCAAACGAAGGAUUGCUGUGAAACAUCACAUCUUGUUGUGCUGCUUGGCUCGGCUGGAGGAGCAGCACAGCUCCUUGUGCUCGCACUUAGCAGGAGCGGAGCUGCAGAAAAGGUGGUGUUGCUCUGCAUUAUAUGCAGUGACCACAGCUAUGAGAGCAGGGUUACAUUUUCCAUUAGAAUGGGAAAACGUUAACGCUAAAACACUGUUUUGAUCAUGUGAAAAUGCUUUACUGUUCUAUCUGCAUUAUUUAAUUUAUGGUCCUUUUAUUGUUUCUCAAAAUCAUAAUUGGCGUUUACCCAUUAAUAUUUAAUUUGUUUUGGAGGUUAAUUGCAGAAAAAGGCCAUAUAUAAUACAAUGCUCUCGAGUACAGAAUCAUAAAAUAUAAUAACCAGAAAUAUUUGCUGCUACACAUUAAAAAAAAAAAAAAAAAAGCCUUUGUAAUAAUACAAAAGGAGGUGCAGAGAGUAGCUUCUGCUUCACUUUCUUUCUCAGCAGUAUGCAAUUUUGUAUUUAAUAUAUAUAUAUUAAAGAAAUCAGAGUUGUUUUAGAGCCACAACAAAUUUAUGCACGCAUUGCAUGCUUGUAUCCUGAUUGCUCUUGGCUGUUCUAAAUUUCUUGCCUUAGUUUAUUUGAUAUAUUACACGAUCAGGGUUAGUUUGGGUGGUCUCCUGUGUUGUUUUUUUCUUUUAAAAUCUAACAUUUUAUGCAUGUUUUGACAGCAUCUCAAAUGAAACACACUGAUGUCUGCCAAACGUAUUAUAUGGAUGUUCUCCCGGGUGGGACAGCAGCCCCAGAAUUUUCUUCUAUCUCUAGGACUGAGAAGCUAUGGCAUCAUCCCUGUCUUGUGCUGCUCACUGUCUGCCACCAGCAGUGUCAGGGAGCCUUGUGGCUAUCAUCCCC